GCAGACUAGAGUGCAGUAGGGGAGACUGGAAUUCCUGGUGUAGCGGUGAAAUGCGCAGAUAUCAGGAGGAACACCGAUGGCGAAGGCAGGUCUCUGGGCUGUUACUGACGCUGAGGAGCGAAAGCAUGGGGAGCGAACAGGAUUAGAUACCCUGGUAGUCCAUGCCGUAAACGUUGGGCACUAGGUGUGGGGGACAUUCCACGUUUUCCGCGCCGUAGCUAACGCAUUAAGUGCCCCGCCUGGGGAGUACGGCCGCAAGGCUAAAACUCAAAGGAAUUGACGGGGGCCCGCACAAGCGGCGGAGCAUGCGGAUUAAUUCGAUGCAACGCGAAGAACCUUACCAAGGCUUGACAUUCACCGGACCGCCCCAGAGAUGGGGUUUCCCUUCGGGGCUGGUGGACAGGUGGUGCAUGGUUGUCGUCAGCUCGUGUCGUGAGAUGUUGGGUUAAGUCCCGCAACGAGCGCAACCCUCGUUCUAUGUUGCCAGCACGUGAUGGUGGGGACUCAUAGGAGACUGCCGGGGUCAACUCGGAGGAAGGUGGGGAUGACGUCAAAUCAUCAUGCCCCUUAUGUCUUGGGCUUCACGCAUGCUACAAUGGCCGGUACAAAGGGUUGCGAUACUGUGAGGUGGAGCUAAUCCCAAAAAGCCGGUCUCAGUUCGGAUUGAGGUCUGCAACUCGACCUCAUGAAGUCGGAGUCGCUAGUAAUCGCAGAUCAGCAACGCUGCGGUGAAUACGUUCCCGGGCCUUGUACACACCGCCCGUCAAGUCACGAAAGUUGGUAACACCCGAAGCCGGUGGCAGUAGACC
rnacentral:rRNA from 1 species